rnacentral:rRNA from 1 species
GACAGAGGGUGCAAACGUUGCUCGGAAUCACUGGGCGUAAAGGGCGCGUAGGCGGGAAUGUAAGUCGGGCGUGAAAUCCCCAGGCUCAACCUGGGAACUGCACUCGAAACUGCGUUUCUUGAGUAUCGGAGAGGAAAGCGGAAUUCCUGGUGUAGAGGUGAAAUUCGUAGAUAUCAGGAGGAACGACCAGUGGCGAAGGCGGCUAUCUGGACCGUAACUGGCACGCUGAGGCGCGAAAG